UUGUGCUAGGCGGGGAGUUAGCGGUUCCCUGUUCCCGAAAGCCGCUUACGCGGGGCUGAAUUCCCUCUGGAGGAUCUCACCCUGGAAUUCUUUGAAUCAUUUUGAUCGGUCGCCACGCAACGGAAGAUCACGAACCUCGUCAGGUCCGGAAGGAAGCAGCGAUAAGUGAUAAUAUCCGUGUCGUGGAUUGAUCCCGGUCAUGGUAAUGAUUUAAGGUUUUCAGACAGAGAUUCGAUAGCGGGUGCACAA
rnacentral:SRP_RNA from 1 species